rnacentral:lncRNA from 1 species
AAAUACCUUCAGAGCUUGGAAACUUGUUGACCUUGCAGUACCUUUUGGAUCUCAGUAGCAAUUCGCUCUCUGGGACAAUCCCUUCAGACCUGGGGAAGCUUGCCUCAUUGGAGAACCUGAAUGUCUCACAUAAUCAUCUCACAGGGAGAAUCUCAUCAUUAUCAGGCAUGGUCAGUCUAAACUCCUCUGAUUUCUCAUACAAUGAACUGACAGGUUCAAUCCCAACUGGCGAUGUCUUCAAGCGGGCAAUUUAUACUGGAAACUCGGGUUUGUGUGGAGAUGCAGAAGGAUUAAGUCCUUGUUCUUCAAGUUCCCCAAGCAGCAAGUCAAACAAUAAAACCAAGAUUCUAAUUGCUGUCAUUGUUCCAGUCUGUGGCCUCUUAUUACUUGCAAUUGUUAUUGCUGCAAUUCUUAUACUUCGAGGACGAACUCAACACCAUGAUGAAGAGAUCGAUAGUCUAGAAAAGGAUCGGAGUGGCACGCCCUUGAUUUGGGAAAGACUGGGAAAAUUCACAUUUGGGGAUAUUGUGAAAGCCACUGAAGACUUCAGCGAUAAGUACUGUAUUGGAAAAGGAGGAUUUGGGACUGUUUACAAAGCGGUAUUACCAGAGGGUCAAAUUGUUGCGGUUAAAAGACUCCAUAUGUUAGACUCCAGCGACCUUCCAGCAACAAAUAGGCAGAGUUUUGAGAGUGAAACUGUCACUCUGAGAGAAGUUCGGCAUAGGAAUAUCAUUAAACUUCAUGGGUUCCAUUCCAGGAAUGGAUUCAUGUACUUAGUGUAUAACUACAUAGAGAGAGGUAGUUUGGGGAAAGCACUAUAUGGGGAGGAAGGGAAAGUGGAGCUGGGGUGGGCCACAAGAGUUACGAUUGUGCGGGGAGUGGCUCAUGCGCUUGCUUACUUACAUCAUGACUGCUCUCCGCCCAUUGUCCAUCGUGAUGUUACUCUGAACAAUAUCUUGCUGGAGUCAGAUUUUGAGCCACGGCUCUCAGACUUUGGCACAGCGAGAUUGUUGGACCCGAAUUCAUCCAACUGGACUGCAGUUGCAGGGUCUUAUGGCUACAUUGCCCCAGGUAAACUGAAGAUUAUUUUUAUCCAUUCUGUUUUAUAUUAGUUGAUCAGAAUGUGUUUUUAGGAAGCUCAUUUUGUUUUCUUGAUUUGCAGAGCUUGCACUUACAAUGAGGGUCACGGACAAGUGCGAUGUGUAUAGCUUUGGGGUGGUGGCAUUGGAAGUGAUGCUGGGAAGGCACCCAGGGGAGCUCCUACUUUCGCUGCAUUCUCCAGCAAUAUCUGAUGAUUCAGGGUUGUUCUUGAAGGACAUGCUAGAUCAGAGGCUCCCAGCUCCCACAGGCCGACUGGCAGAGGAAGUGGUGUUUGUGGUCACGAUAGCCUUGGCAUGCACGCGUGCCAAUCCUGAGUCACGCCCCACCAUGCGCUUCGUUGCACAAGAACUCUCUGCUCAAACCCAGGCUUGCCUAUCUGAGCCAUUCCACACUACAACCAUGGGCAAGCUAACAAGCUUUCAGAAGUAGGUCGAAUUGGUUUAACAUCCUUACAUUUAUAUUGUUCACAAUGGUUCAUGAACUCGAGUAGCUGAAUAGUGCUGUGUGUGCUACCUCUCAUGUAGCUGGGAUGACUUGUCCUAGUCAUCUAGGUCUUUAAGGUGGUAUAUGAUUGUGUAUGGUUACACAUUGAAAAUGACAAAUGAACAUGUCUAUUGCUAUUUGAGUGAUGUGUUCUUUUAAAUACUAUUUUUGUAGGAGUUUUUAACCUUGAGGGGUACUUGGGCUAGUGUUUGGCUUAGUGAUCAAUUUGAGUCACAUUGGAGUGAGACCCACAUAUAUAUAUUCUGAUGAUCUUGAGUGGUUGUUGAUUCAACAUGUAAACUGUGUAUACGUAAGAUGGACUUCAUAAUAUCUUGCUGAGGACAAUAUUUUUCUUUUUAGUAAUUCUAAGGUGCAUGAUUAAGGUAAAUCCUUGGUGAGGGUAAUUUUAUUUGAUUAUUGGAAUUGAUGUUUUAUCCUUCUAGGAUAUGGUAACAUCAAUUGUUUUAUCAUGACAAAUGUGAAUUUCUAACUCAAAGGCUAAAGAUGGAAUUUAUUAGUGGAUCACACAUACUAAUUGAAUCAUGAAUAUGAGUUCAUGGGAAACAAAUACAUUGAUUAGUAGUGUGUGGGACAACUAUUAACUUUAUGUAAUUAGAUGUAAUUAGUGAAGUGUAGUCAAAUGACUUUAAUGGAGUCAACCAUUGGUGGCCAUUGGUUGGAGCUUGAAGAGAGUGAAUAUAAGUAAGGAUUACCGAACCACUAUAAAACUUAAAUUUGCUUUUUCUAUCCCUUAUCUCUUUAUAUUCAUUACUCUAUAAUUGUCUAAAUUUAUUUUGUUUUCCAAAAGUUUUUAGAAACCCAAUUCAAUUCCUUCCUAGGUGAUUGUAUGAAUUAAUUAGCUUUCAAAUUCACACUAUAUAUAAAAUAAGCGAAAAUAUGAAAUAAUAUAUUUUAUUUCAUGUUUAAUUCACAAUCAAAUUUAAGUUAUCUCAUCACUUUCUAAAUUUUAAAUAUUUUAAUUAUGAAUAUUAUUAAUAAAGAAAUAAAAAAUUACACACUAAAUUAUAAUUCUAAAUAAUACCCGAUUGACAUGUGAGAUAUUUCAAUAUUCUUUAAUAAACUUUCAAUUAAACAAAUAUUACAUUUUCAUUCAAUUUUUUUUGAGAUAUCAUUUCCAUUAAAUAUAAUAUGCACGUAUAUUAUGUCUCACUAAAAUGAUAUUUUACCAUAUACAUAGUUAUUAAACAUGGCCUAAAAUUAUUUGAUAAGGAAAGACGAGACUAGUAAAGCUUUUUAAUAUGGCUGAAUCAAAGAUGAACAUAAAUUAGUAUUGGAGAAUUUAUUUUAUUUGAAGGCAUCAAAGAGGGAAGGAUAGAAAUUUCAUUAAAUUAAAAAGAAGUCCUCAGCCUAAAUUUGGUUGAUGGGAUAUAGUCAUGACUUUCCUUAUCAAAUAAUGUUCAGUUGAUAACUAUUUAUUAAAUUAGUUUUCUAUUUUUUAGAAAAAAAAAACUACGAUUAACCAAAAAGAAAAAAAGAAUACUUUAAUAUUCUUAAAAGUAGAAAACAUGUUGUUUUAAUAAAACAUCUUUAAUUUUCUUGAUUGUUUUCACUUGUUUUUUAAGGAUGAUUUGAAUAAAUAAUCAUACAAAUACGACAAACAAUUAACAAUAAAAUAUUACAUAUAAAAGUUAUUUUUAAAAUAUAUUUAAAAACAUAAAAAAUAUGUUACAUAUAUUUUAGAUUCUUAAAUAAAGUUUUAUUUUACAAAACAUAAAAUGAAAGAGAAUAAUUUUUAAAAAUUGUUUUUUAAAAAUAUUUUUGAAAACACUUACAGUAUAUAUAACCUUAGUAACUUAAUAGCACUCAAAGAUAAUGCAAGACAGACUAAGUUUACAUAAUUGGAUAAAAGACUACUUCCAAAAGUAGAAAAACCAAAACAAGUUUUGAAAACGAGCCCUCCAAAAUUGUUAGAUCUCAGCAAUAAUGAUUCAACAAAGAUAAAAUGAUCAAGCCUUAAGCUAGCGUGUGUGGGAAGCUUUGCUCCAUGUGUCCUUCCCAAGCUCAAGACCUUUUGGUUAUCCAAGGUAAAUAAAUAAUUCGUCUGGGAUCAAUCUGUCUGAUUCAAGUUAAGCUCUGUCUGGUGCAAGAGGAGAGAUAUAUUUCAUUCUUCCUCAAUGUUAAACAAAAUGGACAGACCAAGCUGACUAGGACUUCCAGAUAGACAAACCAACCCAACAGGAAAUUCCAAGCAUUGGACAAAUGAUUAAUCACACCCAAUGCUUGAGCAACAAUCUAGAUGGCAUUUACACGAAAAAACCAAUGUUAAUAAGUCGUUACACACAAUCAGCGACAUUGAAAAACGUAAAUGCACAGUCAACGAUAUGGUUCGAGAUUCUUGCACGACAACCAACAAAUGACACCAAUCAGCAACUCUUGUUUGGUAUGAUUGUCUAGUCUGCACUAAGAUGAUGGCGUUGAUUACCUUAUAAAGGCUUAGUAUUUGCCACGAUGACGAUCAUCAAUGCAAGAAAGGCAUGAAUGCACAAUCAACGCUAUGAGAAUGACGUCAUAUGUUCUAUAAAAACCACUCGAGAAGCAUGAAAAAGAUACACGCAUGUAUAGCCAUUCAAAACAGUUGGAUUCACUCUUACUAGAUUCUGACUUAAGUUUUGGAAAGGCGUGCCUAGACCACCUGUCUAGACAUCCUUUUGUGUAGGGAAGAAGUUCGACUGACUCCAAUGAAGCUAGACAAACCUAUAUCUAGUUGACACAACACCAACAUUGGUGUCGUUUGUGGGAACCAACUAAGAAUGUCAACACCCUCUAGAAACCAAUCAUUAGCUAUGGGUGACAAAGAUUGUUUUGUCUGGUGCAAAAGGAUGAAGAGAUGCCAACAAGAAAAUGAGUGGUGGAUGUAGACUUUGCUUUGCCAAAUAGAAUGACUAAGAAAAAAGAACAAAGAAUUAUGGGCUAAAAUGUCAACAAUAGGCAUUUUUUAAAGUCGGCACACUCAAAACCGACAAACAGCCUCAAAACAAACUAUUGAGGCAUCUUUCCUCGGGGGCACAUAGUUCUCAUCCGACAGCUACUCAAGACGAUCCUAUGAGGAGCCUUCACCAACUCGUCAAAACUAGUCGACAAAGGCACCAACUUCACUUGGGCAUCAAGGAAAAAAAGAUGCAGUAGAGGGUCACAUUUAUCUGACGCGAUGCGAGUCCGACUAGGACCUCAAGCACCAAGCAUGGAGGGAUAACAACGUAUGUUAGAGACCUUAAGGGCAUGUCUAGGUCAGCUAGCCAUAACAAAUACAUCUGGAUGACCCUCUCAACUACCAAAGUAGCAGCAGGCGAACAUAUUGGUGACGCGAGCCCCACCUUACUCUAUCAGCCGACGGUUGGAUGACAUACUCACCACACCAUUCAACCCCCAUAUCAUUAACUACGAGCAGCCUAGAGGGUUCAUAGUGCCCAAGUUCAUAAUGUACAACAUAAAGAGUGACCCAUUUGACCACACCAUGCACUUCAAGAAGCUUAUGACCCUUGGCAUAGGAAUGAUGCAUUGAUGUGCAAGGUCUCUACAACCAGCCUACAUGGUCAAGCUCUCUCUUGGUUCCAUCAUCUCCCGUAGAAUUUCAUGAACACUUUUCGGGAUGUCUCAGAUGUCUUUUUAGGCCAUUUCCUAUGUUCUACUCACCAAAAGCAUAACAUAAGCACCCUACGGAACAUCAAGUUGCAGGAAAAUGAAAUGCUAAGGUACUUCAUGAAGCGAUUUGGGCAAAUAGUGCUCCAAGUUGAAUCCUGUAGUAUGGACGCCAUUUUUCAAGUGAAGUAUUAGCCCGGGCACACCAUUUUUUGAGUCUCUUGAGAAGAAGCCGAUUACAAUGAUGGAUAUCCUAUUUAGUUUAGUGGACAAGUAUUCUAUACUCGAAGAUGAUGUCCAAGAAGCCUUUCAACAAGUCUUGGUCACUAAUCAUCCGACCAAGAAUGAUAAAGCGGGGAGUUCUAAGCCCUCGAACCAAUUGAGGCAAUGUAACAAGAGGUGAGAUGACCAACAAUAGCAACAAGUGAGACUCACCCUUCUAAGCAUUUCCUAUGAGAGACUCCUCCCACAGAUUUGGCUAGACAGGACUGAAACAAAAGGUGCUCCUACCAUAAGGAUCAUGGUCAUACCACCGAACAAUGCAAGAGUUUGUAUUACUUGGUGAAGAAACUUAUUAAGAUCGAGAACCUUAAGUAGUACGUUCGCACAACCAACGGGCAAAGAGAUAUGACACUAGAGGUAACUGUCUAAGCCUUUGCAUCUUUGGAAGCUUCCAGAGUUGUCAUUAACUAUAUACACGGAGGUCCAAUAGCCGAUAAACACUACUUUAGACAGCAAAGGUGAAGGUUGCUUCACGUGGCUUCUAUAAGAGAACAUAUUAACUUUGUUCAAUGCACCUUCGCAGAAGGAAGUGUGCAUCCAGUAGACAGCAUAAUCACCUUCUUUCCAUUGGAUGUUGUAAUCGCAUGAAGAUGCCUUGAUCCUAACAUUGGGGGUAAGUGGAUUUGACGUGUGGAAAAUCCUAGUUGAUCCGAGCAGUUUAACUAACCUUUCUCAAAUGUCGAACUAUAGGCAAAUGGGCUACUCGUCAUCUGUCAUAGAAAAUCCAGGACGUCUGUUGUCUGGAUUCAAUGAAGCUACAACAACCUCUUUGUGCGAUGUUGUGUUGUCCGUUCAAGUUGGCUCGGUCACAUUGGGCAUGCAGUUCUCGGUGGUUGACGAUUUGUCUCUAUACAAUGCCAUUAUGGGAUGUGCAUGGCUUCACAAAAUGAAAGUCAUUCCUUCUAUAUACCAUCAAAUGGUGAGCUACCUCAUAGAAUAUGGACAAGUUGAUCUCCUUGACAACCAGCUAGCCGCGCGACAAUGCUAUUAGGUGGUGCUAGAAUCCGAAUAUUCGACUGAUAAAUAGGCGCAUUCAAACCCAUCAACUACAAGGAAGCAAUAGCAGUUACUAAGUCUAGCCGAAAAAGAUCCAUCUACGAUUGAACUCCAGCCACUGCUCAUCUAGCAUGGCACAAAUCAAAUCACCUAUACCAGUUCCCUGUUUGUGCAAGAUGAACUAGAACUGCUAAGAAAUAUGUUUUAGCGCAAUAAGAACAUAUUUGCUUAUACUCACUCGAACAUGCCGGAAAUCCAUCCGGUCAUGGCCUCCCACAAGCUUAACGUCUCACCCACCUCGCGACCUAUCCGACAAAAGAUCCAACAUUUUCAUCCGAACAGAAAAAAAAUCAUCCAGAUAGAAAUUGAAAAACUAUUGGUAGUUAGAUUCAUCAGAAAAUUCAAAUAUCUGGAUUGAUUGACGAACGUGGUGGUAGUCCCAAAGAAAUAUGGAAGGUAGCGAGUCUGCGUUGAUUACACUAACCUGAAUGACGUCUACCCAAAUAAUUGCUUUUUCUUGCCCCGAAUAGAUCAAAUAGUUGAUGCCACCAUCGGACAUGGGAUGCUCUCCUUUCUAGACGUCUGUUUUGGAUACCACCAAAUCCCUAUGUUUUAGCUAGACGAGGAGAAAAAAACCUUUGUCACACCACAAGGGUUGUAUUGUUACAAAAUCAUGUUGUUUGGACUCAAGAAUGCUGACGCUACUUACCAGAGACUAAUGAAAAAAUAUUCAAGCCCCUGAUCGGCCGAACGGUGGAAGUCUACAUUGAUGACAUUGUUGUAAAGAGCGAAACCCAAGUUGAGCACAACCAACACCUAGAAGAAGGAUUCCGUCUGUUGCGGGCAUACAACAUGAAGCUCAAUCCCACUAAAUGUGCCUUUGGCGUCAAUGCAAGGAAGUUUCCAAGGUUUAUGGUAACCCAAAGAGGAUUUGAAGUUAAUUAAGCUCAAGUGAAAGUCGUCAUCGAAACACUCUCUACAAACAGUAAAAGGAAUUGCAACGUCUCACAGGUCGUCUCGCAGAUUUGGGUCAUUUCAUAGCUUGUUUCAUAGAUAAGUUAAGACAUUUCUUCCUCACACUUAAAGGGGUAAGCACGUUCGAUUGGAUAGACGAGUGUAAGUAGACAUUUCAAGUAGUCAAGUGUUAUCACUAAACCGCCCAUUUUAAGCCCCAAGUUCGACGAAUAACUCUACAUGUAUUUGGCCCUAUCUGACUGCGUUGUCAAUGUCGUCCUAUUUAUGUAUAUACGAGAUAGAGAGUAGAGACCCAUCUAUCAUGUGAGAAAAGCAAUGGUGGAUACUAAGACUCGGUAUUCCCAAGUAGAGCAAACUGAUUUAGCACUAUAGAGUGUUACUCGAAAGCUCCGCCAUACUUUCAGACUCAUCAAGUGACCAUACUUACAAACCGGCCGCUCUGAGUCACUUUGCACAAGUCAGACCUAUCUGGAUGAAUGUUCAAAUAGGCAAUCAAGUUGAGUAUGGGAUCGAGUAUCAAUCGCGGUUAUCCUUAAAGGGGCAAGUAAUAGUUGACUUCAUAGUUGAACUCCCUAAAAAAAAACACAUUUGGCCGACCACUUUGGAGAGCAAUGGUAGACACUUCAUGUAGACGGAUCGUCUAAGGUGUUUGGAUCCGGAGUAGGUCUGGUCCUGCAAUCACCAACCAUGGAACUAAUAGAGCAAGUUAUUCGUCUCAGCUUCUCGACUUCCAACAACGAGACAUAAUAUAAAGCUAUGCUAGCUGGGCUAGAUCUUGCCCUUAUGUUAGUUGCAACCAAGUUGGAAAUCAAGAGCGACUCUCAGCUAAUUGUUGAGCAGAUUCAACAAGACUACAAAGCAAAAGAUGAAUGUAUGACCCAAUACCUCGCCAUGGUGGAAGAACACUUGAAAAAGCUAAACGAUUGGAUCAUUAGACCGACACCACAAGAAGAGAACGGAAAAGCCGAUGCAUUGGUCAGAAUAGUUGCCACUCUUCCUAUAAAUGAGACGAUAAUGUUGCCCAUCUACCUCAAAGUCAUGCCUUCAAUCACUUUAGAGUCAGUAUGCAAUACCAAUGAAGAAGACUCAAGAUGGAUGCUCGACAUCAUAAAAUACCUCUAGACAGGAGAAGUACCAAAAGACGGGAAGUAAGCACAUAAACUUCGCAUACAAGUAGUACCCUUUACUUUAAUUAAUGAUCAACUUUAUUAAUGAUCAUUCGAAAGCCCAUACCUAAAGUGUUUGAGUGAGUUAGAGACCAAAUAUGUCUUAGUUGAAUUCCAUGAGGGCGUAUGUGACAAUUACCCAGAUGGAUACCACGCUUACACGCAAGGAUACUAUUAACCCCCAUGAAGCAAGACGCUAAAAGGUAUGUCAAAAAAAUGCAAUCAAUGUCAAUCACACGCUCCUAUUCCUCGUGUACCUUUGGAAGCCCUCAACCUGGUCACAAGUCCUUGGCCAUUUGUGUAGUGGGGGUGGACAUAGUCGGCCCCUUACCCACUGGAGCAGCAUAAAAGAUGUUUCUACUUGUUGCAACUAACUACUUCAGCAAAUGGGUAAAGGCAGAAGCCUAUGUCAGUAUCAAAGACAAAGAUGUCUCCAAGUUCAUCUGGAAAAACAUCGUAUGUCGAUUCAGAAUUCCACGAGCAAUCAUAACGAAUAAUGGACCCCAGUUUGACAACGCCGUCUUUCGAACAUUUUGCUCAAAGCUAGACAUCAAGAAUUUGUACUCAACACCCUUGUUAUCCACAAAGCAACAGAUAAGUAGAGGAGACAAACAAAACCCUAUUGAAUGCAUUAAAAAAAAUGUUGGAAUGAGCGAAAGGAAAAUGGGUAGAUGAGUUGCUCGGAGUUGUAUAGGCUUACCGAAUAACAUCCAGAUGGUCAACAUGAGCUACUCCUUUCACCCUUACUUAUCAGAUGGAAGCCAUCAAUCCAAUCGAAAUUGGCAUGCCUACUGCCAAAACAGCUAUGGAAGGUCAAAGGGACGACGAUGAAGAACUCAUAUGACAAUUGGAUUAAGCUGACGAAAAGUGAGGAAAUGUAGCUAUCUGGAUGGCUUCUUACUAUCAGAGGACAAUUGCUCAGUACAGCAAAAGAGCAUGACCACUGUUUUUCCAACCAAGAUCUUUAGUUCUCAGAAGAGCCUUCAAAAACACAAUUAAAGUGGGAGUCAGAAAGCUACAACUUGAAGUAAUUUUACUUUGAAAUUCACUUAAGACACGAUACCAUUAACUAUUAAAAAAAAAAAUCAAUUUCAUAAAAUCUUCAAAACAUAAAAUAAUUCUUCGACAUCCAAAAAGUUGAAAUUCAUUAUAACCUUUAAUUCGUUAAUUUUACCAACAUUUAUUUACCAACAAAAAUCUAAACAAUAUUUUGAAACUUAAUUUCACCAAUUAUUUAGUAAUUAAAUUUAUAAUAAUCAAAUUCUCAACCCUUCUAUAACUUUUAUUUAAUUUACUUUAUUUGUCAAAUUCUUGAAUUGAAUCAAACUUUUAAAAAUUAAAUUCACUAAAUUCACAUUUAAUUAAUUUAUCCUUUUGUAUGCUUUUCUAAAUUCAUAUAUCAUAAUUUAAUCUUAAAUUAAUUUCAAUUCUAUUUGAUGUUAUAUCAUUUUAUAAGAUUUAAUUCCAAUUAUAAAAAUUAAACUGAUUCAUUAUAAAAUUAAAUUCAAUUUCUUUUUAACAAUCCAUUCUGACAAUUCAUAUAAUAUAAAUUUUUACCAAGUUUUUCUCAUUACGAUUCUCCGACAAUUACCCAAUAAUAAUUAAAUUAAUUCUUACAAUAUACUUAAUAUUCAAAUUUUCAAAAUUUAAUAUCAAUUAUUUGAUGUUUAAAUUUUUCCCCUAAUUUAAAUUUAGUUUUUAAAAUUCCUACUUUUUAAAUUUGAUGUGGCAAGAUUUUCAAACUAUUGAUUUUUGAUCAAUUUUUUUCUCAAAAUUUUUCCUAAUUAAAUAUUAACACGUGCAUCUUCACAAUUCUUUUUGACCAUUUGACUAACAAUUUAAUGAAAACUUUUUUUAUCCCUAAAUCUGACAUGUCAUUAAAAAACGCGAGUAUUACAAAUAUUAAUAUAAAAAAAGAUUAAAACAAAUAUAUGAGAAAUUAAACAUUAACUUAAGAAUAUGGUAUAGAUAUUUUACUUAUUUAAUAGAUUAUGAAUUAUUAUAGAUGAAUUCAUUUUUAUAUUAAAAUAAUUUAUUUGGUUAAUUAUAAGUAUGUUAGAAUAUUUUAUUAAAUCAUUUUAAAAUAAAAAUAUAAUAAAAAAAUUAAUGAGCAAAUGUAAUAUAAUAUAAUAAUAAAGAUUAAUUUUUUAUAAUGUAUAUUAUAUAUAUAUAUAUAUAUAUAUAUAUAUAUAUAUAUAUAUAUAUAUAUAUUAUACAUUAUAAAAAAUUAAUAAUGUUAUUUCUAUAGCACAAGUGUAUUAUUUAAACUUUUAAUUAUUAUUUUUUAUUAUCUUUCAAGUUAGUAAAAAUUCAAAUUAAAAAAGAUUUUACAAAUUUCACUUUUUUUAAAUAAUGUUAAUUUUUUUUUAUCGACCAUGGUUUUCAAGAAGAAAAAAAAAAGACAAUUAAAUACAUUUAAAAUAAAUAAAUUUAAAGUUCCAAAAAAAAAUAAAAAAAUAAAAUUUAUUUUUAGAAAAUGAAAUUUUCAAAACCUUUACCAAACUAAAUACAAUAGUGACUAAUUAUAUUAUCCGCGCUCCCUAUGUUGCCCUUAAAGUACUAAUGAGAAAUACAAAUCCCUUACAAUAUAAAUGACAUGGGAAUUGCACUUGAUAACAUUUCAUUCAUAUUGUGUGUUUUUAUUUUCUAAAAAUCAUUUUAGAAAGCAGUUUUCAAGGAAUAAAACCAAACACUAAGGGUGGGAAUUGUUUUUUAAAACAAUUUUUUGUUCUCCUAAACAAAAAAUAUAGAAAAUAUGUUCGAUAACCAAAAACUAUUUUUUUUUUAAGAUAAAAAAUAAAAUAGGAUAUUUUCAAAUAAUAUAUUUUUAUUAUUUUAUAUUAUUUUAACUUGUUUUCUAAUGAUUGAUUUAAGAAAUAAUUAUAUAAAUAUAUAGAAUAAUUAAAAAUAAAAUACUAGAUAUAAAACUUAUUUUUAAAACUUAUUUUAAAAUUUUAAAAAUAGGAUAAAAGUAUUUUUGAUUUCUAAACAUACUUUUAUUUUAUGAAAAUCAAAGGAUAAUUCUCAAAAACUAUUGUCAAAUAUUAUUUUUUAAAACUAUUUUCAUAAAUAAUUACGAAACUCGCCCUAAAAUUCUAAAGUAAUGCUAGGUGUUUCUAAAAUGGAUUUGCAAACCCGUGGCAACAUUAAGCGCAUUGUACCUUUCAAGAAAGUAGUUAGGCAAAUUUAUUGUUUUCAAAUUAUAAGUUUUUGUCACUUGACCAUCCCCUUGCUGUUGAUUUUGAUUUUGUUUUUAUUUUUGAAGUUCCAACUACCAAAGUGUGAAAUGGAAUGUGGGCCAUAGAAAAAUAAGUCAUGUUGCUGGUAACUAAUGUACUUGGUUGACCAUUAUAGUCCUAUAUAAAUAACUUUUUAUUUUUAUUUUUUAUAUGGUAUGCUUUUAAUUAUAGCAGAAAUGCCACUUGUUCUAGUUAUAAAGUCAUAUAUAUAUAUAUAUAUAUAUAUAUAUUUGUUUUCAUUGCUUAAUUAAUUUUGUAUUGUGAUAUGAGGAUAUGACUUUUCCUUUGCAAGCUUUGUAAUUGUGAAUGAUAGGGACACUCCUUGUGUCAUUUGGUUUCAAAGGGAUUCAUAUUGACUUUCAAAUGAAAUUUGCUCCCUAAAACCUCAUUCUUCUUCCAAGUUGCUUUAACUCGGUCUUCUUAAUUUCUAUGGCUUAUGGCUUAUAGCUUAGUUAAGUGGUAAUCUUAUGUCUUGAUGAUUUGAAAUUUUUGUAUUUCUUCAAAACUAAUCCAACUCUAAUUAAUGGGAUGAUCCAAUUUUUUUUUCAUAAAAAAAAAAAACACAUUUUAGACAAAUAUGUCCUCAUAUUUUUCUUCCAAUAAUAACAUUUUUUUUUUUUAAACUCACAUGUAAAUAGUCGAAAUGUUGAAAGAUAUUUAUAUAAAAAUUGGGUUACUCUUCAAAUUUAAAAAUGAUAAAUAUUAGUUUUACAAAUUGGAGAUCUUUUCAUCUUUUUUUAAUCAAUUAAUCCAAUUAAUAACUUAUAUUAGAGAAUUGUAUCACCAGAGCAAAAGUAUGAAAGUUAGGUGUCACUUUUGUAUCAUAUUAUGAUUCCAUAUCUUUAUAGAAGUACAUACCAUCCCUAUUAAGGUUUUAUUAUAGAAAGAUAUUUUUUUAUAACUAUCUAAAAGGUACUAUCAAUGAGAUGAUGCCAUAUAGACACAAUCGAGUUUUCAUGACUUUACACUAAGAGUAUCAUUCAUUAUAAUCUUAUAGUUUGAUCUCAUUUAUCUAACUUAAAUUUGAUUUCCACUUUGAUUCAAUUUAAGUAAAAGGUUAGUAGAUACCGAAUUAGUAGCUUCGAUUUCUGACUUUAGAAACGAAAGCAAACUCCACUCACCAACCAGUAUUGUUGUUUGAUUCCCUGCUCCAAUAAGAAAUCCCAGAGGGAAAUUUCUUAGUUUUAUCCUUGUAGUGUUGUUUGGUGUGAACAUUCUUCAGUUUCCAGUUGUUUGGUUUGCAAGGAAAUGGUUGGCAUUUAACCCGAUAUUGCCCAGAAAAAUCUUGACUGAUAACUUGGGUGCAGUAACCCAUUUGCCAAGCAUCUGGCUCUAAAGAAAAAUCAGUUCGGAUUCAGUCAGUUUUCCGAAAUUUUGUGGAUUAUUUGGUUAGAUUGCCAUUGAAAUAUCUCCAUAGUCGAUAAGAACUCUUAGGGUCCAGUCCUUGCCUCCUUGAGAGACCUACCUUGUCUCUAUCCUAUUUAUGUGUAAAAAACUAAAAAAAAAAAAAAAAAUUCUACCUCAGAAAUAAUGGGUUGGACCCCUUUCACCUCUUGUAAGGUAGUUAAUUCUCUUUCAAAGUGCUCUCUAGAAGAAAGGGCUCCUUCCUAACUCCUUCCGCAGAAGACUUUUUGGAGUUGCUUUUCCCACAAGGGGACUCCCUCAAUUUCUCAACUUUUCCUCAUCUACAAAGGGUGUCAUUAGUUUGAAAGCUUUGGAAGUUUCCAAGUGACCCCAUUUUAAUAUCAAUUUUUUGAAAAAGGAGUGGGGGCAUGAAUUGCUUAGAAGAUUACAUGCGAAGAGAUUAGUUUUCUCUCUCUUAAUAAUAAUCAAGUGAAAUAAUAAAAAAUAACUUUAUUUUGAAUCAAAUAGACAGCCAAGUUCCAACUACUCCUUGUUUAAACUAGAUUAGUAUCAUCAUAGCCAAUUCAUGAUGAGUAUGAGCCUUGGUCAACUCCGAGUGUAGCUGGAAAAAUCAGGUUAAAAGGCCAAGUUGGGGCUAUAAAAUUUUCGCAGUUGAAUACUGGUUAAGUAUGGUUCCUUGUUCAGUGAGCAGAUAUCGCAGCAAAUAUCAGUCGUAGCAAAAUGGGAUUUUGUUAGAAAAUAAAGAACAUGUUAAAUGUUCGAAUUCCCAAGUAAAAUGGGAAAUAAUGAGCUUGGAUUGGAUGUAGCCCAUGUCGUAUUUCUUUGACUUUCAACCGCCCCGUUCAUGAAUACUUUCGGAUGUUUAGAUGGUGUGCUUUUACUUGUACUUAUGCCUUCUAUAUACGCAACACGGGGCAGAACUCUCUCUCUUUUCCCCCACCCCAGCCCCCAGCCCCCGGCCACUCCUCUCUCUCUCUCUCUUUGUGCUAUCAAGAUUUCAUUGAUGAGAAUCUGGCAUCAAGAGCAUGGCAAUGAUUCAUAGCGCUCCUCUUUUUCUUAUUCAUAUCCUCUCCCUUGCUUUACUUCCUUUGAAAAUCACCACAUCACCCACAACAGAAGCAGAAGCUCUUAUCAAAUGGAAGAACAGUUUAAUUUCUUCUUCUCCUCUCAAUUCAUCGUGGUCCCUCACCAACAUUGGGAACCUCUGCAACUGGACAGGUAUUGCUUGUGAUACCACCGGAAGCGUCACUGUGAUAAAUCUCUCAGAGACAGAGCUGGAGGGAACGCUUGCCCAGUUUGAUUUCGGUUCAUUCCCUAAUCUCACUGGCUUCAAUCUCAGCAGCAAUUCCAAACUCAAUGGAUCCAUACCUUCUACGAUUUACAACCUCUCUAAGCUCACUUUCUUGGACUUGAGCCACAACUUUUUUGAUGGCAACAUCACUUCAGAGAUUGGAGGGUUGACAGAGCUUCUGUAUCUCAGCUUUUACGACAACUAUCUCGUUGGUACCAUCCCCUACCAGAUUACCAAUCUUCAGAAGAUGUGGUACUUGGACCUUGGAUCCAACUACUUACAAUCUCCAGACUGGUCGAAGUUUUCGAGCAUGCCUCUGUUGACACGACUGAGCUUCAACUACAAUGAACUUGUAUCAGAAUUCCCGGGGUUCAUAACUGAUUGCCGGAACCUGACAUACCUCGACUUAGCACAGAAUCAAUUGACUGGCGCAAUACCAGAGUCGGUAUUUAGCAAUCUGGGCAAGCUUGAAUUCCUCAAUUUCACUGACAAUUCAUUCCAGGGGCCAUUGUCAUCCAACAUUUCCAGGCUUUCCAAGCUCCAAAACCUUCGCCUAGGAAGAAACCAAUUCAGUGGUUCAAUUCCUGAAGAAAUCGGUACGCUCUCUGAUCUUGAAAUAUUAGAAAUGUACAACAAUUCAUUUGAAGGGCAGAUUCCUUCUUCUAUAGGUCAGCUCAGAAAGCUUCAGAUACUCGAUAUCCAAAGAAAUGCCCUGAAUUCUAAAAUUCCAUCUGAGCUUGGCUCUUGUACUAAUCUCACCUUCUUAUCUCUAGCUGUGAACUCACUAUACGGGGUGAUUCCUUCUUCCUUCACCAAUCUUAACAAGAUAUCCGAGUUGGGUUUGUCAGACAAUUUUUUAUCUGGUGAGAUCUCACCUUAUUUCAUCACUAAUUGGACUGAACUGAUCUCUUUGCAAGUUCAGAACAAUAGCUUCACUGGAAAAAUCCCAUCUGAGAUUGGCCUUUUGGAAAAGCUGAAUUACCUUUUCCUGUAUAAUAAUAUGCUGUCCGGGGCAAUCCCAUCAGAGAUUGGGAAUUUGAAAGACUUGCUUCAACUAGACCUUUCACAAAAUCAGCUAUCGGGUCCAAUCCCUGUAGUAGAGUGGAAUCUCACACAGCUUACUACCUUACAUCUUUAUGAAAACAAUCUCACUGGAACAAUUCCUCCAGAGAUUGGUAACUUGACAUCAUUGACUGUUCUUGAUCUCAACACUAACAAAUUGCAUGGAGAGUUGCCAGAGACAUUGUCACUCCUCAAUAAUCUAGAGAGACUCUCCGUGUUCACCAACAAUUUCUCAGGCACCAUUCCGACUGAACUUGGGAAGAACAGCCUUAAUCUGAUGUAUGUCAGUUUUUCCAACAACAGCUUCUCAGGAGAAUUGCCUCCUGGAUUAUGUAAUGGCCUUGCUCUUCAAUACUUAACGGUAAAUGGAGGCAACAACUUCACAGGACCAUUGCCAGAUUGCUUGAGGAACUGCACAGGGCUAACUCGAGUCCGUCUUGAAGGGAACCAAUUCACUGGAGGUAUUUCCGAGGCAUUUGGAGUUCAUCCUAGUCUUGUUUUUCUUUCUCUGAGUGGCAAUCGAUUUUCAGGUGAGAUUUCACCUGAGUGGGGGGAAUGUCAAAAGCUCACUAGCUUGCAGGUGGAUGGGAAUAAAAUUUCUGGAGAAAUCCCAGCUGAGCUUGGGAAGUUGUCACAACUGGGGGUUCUGAGCCUGGAUUCCAAUGAAUUGAGUGGGCAAAUUCCAGUGGAACUGGCGAAUUUAAGCCAAUUGUUCAACCUCAGCUUGAGUAAAAAUCAUCUGACAGGAGACAUCCCCCAGUUCAUAGGCACUUUAACUAAUCUCAAUUAUCUGAAUUUAGCAGGAAACUAUUUCAGUGGAAGCAUACCAAAAGAGCUGGGGAAUUGUGAGCGCUUGUUGAGCUUGAACUUGGGCAACAAUAAUUUGUCAGGAGAAAUACCUUCAGAGCUUGGAAACUUGUUGGCCUUGCAGUACCUUUUGGAUCUCAGUAGCAAUUCGCUCUCUGGGACAAUCCCUUCAGACCUGGGAAAGCUUGCCUCAUUGGAGAACCUGAAUGUCUCACAUAAUCAUCUCACAGGGAGAAUCCCAUCAUUAUCAGGCAUGAUCAGUCUAAACUCCUCUGAUUUCUCAUACAAUGAAUUGACAGGUCCAAUCCCAACUGGCAAUAUCUUC